AAAAAGGCAAACUUUAGAUUUUCGUGUUCAACUUUGAUUGUCUAUCUUAUAUGAAUUUUUUUUAUAAUUCAUAUUUUCAUUAUUGUUAGAUAAUAAAACAUGAUUAAUAUUUUAUGCGUGACUUGUCUUUUUAAUUUUUUUUCUAAUUUUUUCAAAUAAGACGAACGAUCAAACGUUGGACACGGAAACUAGGGUUUGUCUUUUU
rfam:Oryza sativa (indica cultivar-group) chromosome 2, whole genome shotgun sequence.